UACGGGAGGCAGCAGUGGGGAAUAUUGGACAAUGGGGGGAACCCUGAUCCAGCCAUGCCGCGUGUGUGAAGAAGGCCUUUUGGUUGUAAAGCACUUUAAGCGAGGAGGAGGCUUACCUGGUUAAUACCCGGGAUAAGUGGACGUUACUCGCAGAAUAAGCACCGGCUAACUCUGUGCCAGCAGCCGCGGUAAUACAGAGGGUGCAAGCGUUAAUCGGAUUUACUGGGCGUAAAGCGCGCGUAGGUGGCUAAUUAAGUCAAAUGUGAAAUCCCCGAGCUUAACUUGGGAAUUGCAUUCGAUACUGGUUAGCUAGAGUAUGGGAGAGGAUGGUAGAAUUCCAGGUGUAGCGGUGAAAUGCGUAGAGAUCUGGAGGAAUACCGAUGGCGAAGGCAGCCAUCUGGCCUAAUACUGACACUGAGGUGCGAAAGCAUGGGGAGCAAACAGGAUUAGAUACCCUGGUAGUCCAUGCCGUAAACGAUGUCUACUAGCCGUUGGGGCCCUUGAGGCUUUAGUGGCGCAGCUAACGCGAUAAGUAGACCGCCUGGGGA
rnacentral:rRNA from 1 species